UGGCGAACGGGUGAGUAAUACAUCGGAACGUGUCCUGUAGUGGGGGAUAGCCCGGCGAAAGCCGGAUUAAUACCGCAUACGAUCUACGGAAGAAAGCGGGGGAUCGCAAGACCUCGCGCUAUAGGGGCGGCCGAUGGCAGAUUAGCUAGUUGGUGGGGUAAAGGCCUACCAAGGCGACGAUCUGUAGCUGGUCUGAGAGGACGACCAGCCACACUGGGACUGAGACACGGCCCAGACUCCUACGGGAGGCAGCAGUGGGGAAUUUUGGACAAUGGGGGAAACCCUGAUCCAGCAAUGCCGCGUGUGUGAAGAAGGCCUUCGGGUUGUAAAGCACUUUUGUCCGGAAAGAAAACCUUUGGGCUAAUACCCUGAGGGGAUGACGGUACCGGAAGAAUAAGCACCGGCUAACUACGUGCCAGCAGCCGCGGUAAUACGUAGGGUGCGAGCGUUAAUCGGAAUUACUGGGCGUAAAGCGUGCGCAGGCGGUGAUGUAAGACAGUUGUGAAAUCCCCGGGCUCAACCUGGGAAUUGCAUCUGUGAC
rnacentral:rRNA from 1 species